CCUCUACGUUUCUGUCUCAGGUUUUCGUCAACCCUUCUAUUCAGAUUUCCGCCUUUCUGGCCCCGGUGGCAGCCGUUGAGCAUUGCACCACCCACGUCAGAGACUCUGUACUUGGAGCAUCUAGUGUUUCUCCAUGAUAACAUUUACACAUUUCUGAUGAGAAAACUGAGGGGCACAGAAGCUGAAGAGCUGGCCUGAGACCAUUUCCACUCUCUACUAGGUCACCUCUAUCAGUAAAUAAGGAAACAAACUCUUCCUUCCUGUUCUCUGCCUGUAGCAGAAAAUAGACAAGCCCAGCAGAUGUCCAGGGAUGGCGGAGGAGUACUGCAGCUUCCUUGGAGAGAAGCAGGCGCUCCAGGGAGCCUUGGGGUGGGAACAGGAAGGUGGCUGCAGUAUUGCAUCCUAAUUCCUAACGAGAGCAGCACCCUUUCUCUCCCACCAUCUCCCUUUGUCCCUUUCCAGCCCUUUCCUACCCCUGUGAGGCGGGUGAACUAAAUAUGGCCAGGGAAAUCUCCAGCAGUCACAGUAUUUUUAUUUAUUUUAUUUUGGGUUUUUUUUUUCAGCCACAGUAUUUUUAAACCCUUUGUGGCUGCCUGUUCGCAGUCUCCUGUGACUUCGAUGAACCAGAUCCAGAGAGUUUCUCAUGGGAAUCCAGAACGCUUUGCCGCAACUGCUGGCUUUGCUUGCCUGUGUUUGGGGCCCUUGUUAAUGCAGCCCUUGGGGUUUUGUUUUGUGUCUUCAAGACUUGGGAAGCAGCAGACCCUGUGGAGGCACCGGGAAUGUGGUAGGGAGGCUGUCUUCACGGUGCGUUGCAAGGACGGCUGCCCUGGGCCUGUGAAGACUUGCUGGCUUUGUGGAUGGAGCAGUUCAGGUUGAGGGCUGAACUUCAGGCAUCUUCAUGCAAACUUGGGCGCUAGCAAGAGAGAUUCAGCUCUCACUACUUUCUAAGGGCCCUUUCAUGUGGAAGUUCUGUUAUUAUUGUGGUGGUUUGUUUCUUGUGUAUUACCCAGCUUGAGUCAAGAUAUUGUGUAGGGGACUUCCCUGGUGGUCCAGUGGCUAAGACUCCACGCUCCCAAUGCAGGAGGCCUAGGUUCCGUCCCUGGUGGGCGAGCUACAUCCCACAUGUCCUAACUAAGAGUUUGCAUGGGUCAACUAGAAAAAAAAAAUCGUGUUACCGCAACUAAGGCUCAGUGCAGCCAAAUAAAUAAAUAUGAAAAAAAAAUAUUCUGUAAAUAUAUGGCCUAUCCCGUCCCUUCACCUUUGCUCUUCCCAGUAACUGGUUAUUUAUCUUUCUGAUGCUCUUGCUAAGGUCCUUUUCUGCACUGAAAAGUUGUUUCAAAUUGUCCUGGAAUAGAAAACAUUUCCUUUUAUUAAUAUUUGAGAAAUAUCUUUAUUUUCCAGCCAUUUCUUUACAAGGAUUAUAAUGUAUUUGAGGUUAAAAUGGGACGAGGGAAAUCACUCUUUUUAAAUUGCCUUUAAAACGGUAAUAGAGAAAUGAAAUGGUCACUGAGUGUUGUUUCUUGCGGGACUACCAUGUGUACUUAGUUGUCUGAGUUAUGCAGUAUGUAACUCUAGCUGUCACCAUUCAUACUGCAGAUUUAAUUUAAUAUUUUAAUUUAGUAUGAUGAUUUCCUGGCAGGUGUCAGCGAAGUGUGUUGAAGGAGGGGUGUUUUUUGUUUGUUUGUUUUGUACAAAAGAACUAUAAAGGACCAGCAGUAUCCACUUGUUUUUUCAUAUUACACUUUACCUAUGAUAAUCACUACUAUUUACCAAGGGCUAUCAGACAUUAGUAUAAGUAUUAUGCUAGUAAUCCAGCUCUGAAAAAAAAAAAAAGCCCUGAAUUGCAGUGUUUGUCAAUUUAGUUAAUUAUCCUGGUGUAAAUAUUCCCUUCACAGCCUAGUUCAAGCUACCAAAUCUCUUGAAACUGAACAUGGACUUGAGAAGACAUGUUUACAACUGGCUUUCCUGAGCUGGUACAUACAAGUCAGAGCCAGGAUGCCGCUGGUAACAAACAUUAGCUAGUACUAACUGCUGGAAGUAUUCACAAUGUUAUUAAUAGUUCCUCUAUCAAGUGACACUGUUAUUACAUACUUUCAUACAAAUAAGGAAACUGAGGCAUGGGGAAGUUAUGUUCCUUUGCCAAAAGUGAUAGAACCAGUAAGCAGUGGAGAAGGGCUUUGAGCCCAGGCACCCUAACACCAGCGUCCACACACUUAACCCCUGUACCAUUCUGGGAGUUCAGUAAAUGAUUUCUGAAUGAGGAAAUACUGAUUUGAGGAAGUUUAUACUCCUUUAGGUGUUGUAUCAGUUGGAAGUCUACCGGAUACGUAUGUGCAUAUGUUAAGAGAUUUAUUACAGUGAAUUGGCUUACCUGAUUGCAAGGACUGGCUAGGCAAGUCUGCAGGACUGGUCAUCCAAGAGGACUGACUGGAAACUCUGGGGCAGGAGCUGACACUAUGGUCUACAGGUAGACUGUCUUCCUUGGGGAAACAUCAGUUCUGCUCUUAAGGUCUUGCAACUGGUUGAAUCACGACCACUUAGAUUAUCUAGGAUAAUCUUCCCUACAUAAAGCAAACUGAUUCUGAUCAACUUUAAUCAUACCAACAAUCAUCCUCACAGCAUCAUCUAUGUGUUGGAUUGAGUAACCGGGAACCAUAGCUUAGCUAAAUUGACACAGAAGGUAUUAUGAUUUGAAUUGCAUUCCUGCAAAAGUGUGGUAUCUGUGACUGUGACCUUAUUUGGAAACAUGUCUUUGCAGAUGUGAUCAAGUUAAGAUGAGGUCAUACUGGAGUAGGGUGGCCUUUAACUGAACGUGACUGGGUGUCCUUGUAAGAAGAAGGAGGCAAGUUGGAUGCAGACAGGCAGGAGGAAUGCCCCGUGACAGUGGAGACAGAGCAGUGAUGUAUCUACAAGCCAAGGGACGUCAGGAUCACUGGAAACCACCAGAAGUUAAGGAAGAAACAGGGAAGAAUCCUUCAUUGGAGCCUUCAGCAAGAGCAUGGCCCUGCCAACACCUUUGUUUUGGACUUCUAAUCUCCAGAACUGUGAGACAAUGAAUUUCUGCUGUUUCCAGCCAGUUUGUGAUCUUUUUUUUUUUUUAAUGGCAGCCCCAGGAAACUAAACAGAGAAUCUUAAACAUAACACUAAAAGAUGUGAGCUCAGUCGCUUCAGUCGUAUCUGACUCUUUGCGACCCUUGGACUGUAGCCCGCAAGGCUCCUCUGUCCAUGGGAUUCUCCAGGCAUGAAAACUGGAGCGGGUUGCCAUGCCCUCCUCCAGGGGAUUUUCUCAACCCAGGAAUUGAACCAGCAUCUCCUGAGGCUCCUGCAUUGCAGGUGGAUUCUUUACUGCUGAGCCACAGGGGAAACUUACACUAAAGGAUAAUAAAUUCAAAUAAUGUCUACCUUA